UGCUGAAAAGCCAUGUCUCCUUUUCCUGAUGAACCUCCAAACCUCCAGUGCUACAAGUCAGUGAUGAAAUAACCAUCCUCUGUGUAAAGCUUUUAGUGCUGAAUGUGAAAAAAUUCUCCGGGCUGCCAGCAGGUGGGAUUCAUGAUCAAACAGGAUAUAGCAACUUGCACCUGGAUUGCAAGGUCUUGAUGGUAAAGUUAUACAUUACCCUAUGGGUACUUCUAGCUGUGUUACAGGAUUUCUCAUUCACUCUGUCCAGAACUGCUCAACUCCUGUGCUGAACUCCAUC
rnacentral:lncRNA from 1 species